CCGUCGGGCCUGCUCCUGCCUGCCGGUGUGAAGUGGUGCCGGACGCCGGUGGAAGUGAGUCCUUGCACCUUGGGCUAAAUGAAGGGCAAUUGUGGUGGAGAAAUAAAGCAUCAGACCUCAAACUUGCCUCUGCAUCACAGACUGCCAGGUGACGGUCAUUUGUGGAUUUAUCACAACUCCUGCUUCUGUAAAAUGUUCCGCUUACCCCGAGUAUGUGCUGCGGAAGACGGAAGACAGGAUGAAAAGCUUCCAAAAUUUAUUGGUAGCCCCCAGGUCCCUGAGACUGGAUGGGAUAGAAUCCGGGAACUGUUUAAUCGAGGUGAGAUGAAGAAUUAUCCUGAGGAAAUAAUCAACAUCUGGAAGAGUGCCAUUGUGGCUGGAGCUGUUGGGAUGGUAUAUGGUGGCAUUCCCGCUGCUCGGCAUGCUAAAAUCCAUUACAUUGAGCAGAGCCAGGCUGAGGUGUACAGAAAUCGCUUGGAA